rnacentral:rRNA from 1 species
AGAUUGAACGCUGGCGGCAGGCCUAACACAUGCAAGUCGAGCGGCAGCACGGGUACUUGUACCUGGUGGCGAGCGGCGGACGGGUGAGUAAUGCCUAGGAAUCUGCCUGGUAGUGGGGGGAUAACGCUCGGAAACGGACGCUAAUACCGCAUACGUCCUACGGGAGAAAGCAGGGGACCUUCGGGCCUUGCGCUAUCAGAUGAGCCUAGGUCGGAUUAGCUAGUUGGUGGGGUAAUGGCUCACCAAGGCGACGAUCCGUAACUGGUCUGAGAGGAUGAUCAGUCACACUGGAACUGAGACACGGUCCAGACUCCUACGGGAGGCAGCAGUGGGGAAUUUUGGACAAUGGGCGCAAGCCUGAUCCAGCAAUGCCGCGUGCAGGAAGAAGGCCUUCGGUUGUAAACUGCUUUUGUACGGUAACGAAACGGUUCUAGGUUAAUACCGUCGGCUAAGUGACGGUACCGUAAGAAUAAGACACCGGCUAACUACGUGACCAGACAGCCGA